rnacentral:rRNA from 1 species
UACGUAGGGGGCAAGCGUUGUCCGGAAUCAUUGGGCGUAAAGAGCGUGUAGGCGGUCCGGUAAGUCGGCUGUGAAAGUCCAAGGCUCAACCUUGGGAUGCCGGUCGAUACUGCCGGACUAGAGUUCGGAAGAGGCGAGUGGAAUUCCCGGUGUAGCGGUGAAAUGCGCAGAUAUCAGGAGGAACGACCGGUGGCGAAGGCGGGUCUCUGGGCCGGAUGACUGACGCUGGAGGAGCGAAAGCGUGGGGAGCGAACAGG